rnacentral:rRNA from 1 species
AGAGUUUGAUCAUGGCUCAGGACGAACGCUGGCGGCGUGCCUAACACAUGCAAGUCGAGCGGAGCGGGCUGAGGGAGUAGCGAUACUUUCGAGGCCUGUUUAGCGGCGAACGGGUGAGUAACACGUGGGCAAUCUGCCCUCCGGGUCGGGAUAACAGACCGAAAGGCCUGCUAAUACCGAAUGAGGCGGCGAACUCGCAUGAGUAUGCCGUCAAAGGGGAAACCCGCCGGGGGAGGAGCCCGCGUCCCAUUAGCUAGUUGGUGAUGUAAAGGACCACCAAGGCGAUGAUGGGUAGCCGGCCUGAGAGGGUGAACGGCCACAUUGGGACUGAGACACGGCCCAGACUCCUACGGGGGGCAGCAGUGAGGGAUUUUCGGCAAUGGGCGAAAGCCUGACCGAGCGACGCCGCGUGAGCGAAGAAGGCCUUCGGGUCGUAAAGCUCUGUCUAGGGGAAAGAGUAAGGACGGUACCCCUGGAGGAAGCCACGGCUAACUACGUGCCAGCAGCCGCGGUAAUACGUAGGUGGCGAGCGUUGUCCGGAAUUACUGGGCGUAAAGGGCGCGCAGGCGGUUUGUUAAGUCCGGGGUGAAAUCCACCGGCUCAACUGGUGGGGGACCCUGGAUACUGGCAGGCUGGAGUGCGGGAGAGGGAAGCGGAAUUCCACGUGUAACGGUGAAAUGUAUAGAUAUGUGGAGGAACACCGGUGGCGAACGGCGGCUUCCUGGACCGUAACUGACGCUGAGGCGCGAAAGCUGGGGGAGCGACAGGAUUAGAUACCCUGGUAGUCCCAGCGUAAACUAUGACACUAGUGUGGGGGUAUCGACCCUACGUGCGCAGC